rnacentral:rRNA from 1 species
UUAAGCGACUAAGCGUACACGGUGGAUGCCCUGGCAGUCAGAGGCGAUGAAGGACGUGCUAAUCUGCGAUAAGCGUCGGUAAGGUGAUAUGAACCGUUAUAACCGGCGAUUUCCGAAUGGGGAAACCCAGUGUGAUUCGUCACACUAUCAUUAACUGAAUCCAUAGGUUAAUGAGGCGAACCGGGGGAACUGAAACAUCUAAGUACCCCGAGGAAAAGAAAUCAACCGAGAUUCCCCCAGUAGCGGCGAGCGAACGGGGAGNNNNNNNNNNNCACAUAUUGUGAGCUCGAUGAGUAGGGCGGGACACGUGGUAUCCUGUCUGAAUAUGGGGGGACCAUCCUCCAAGGCUAAAUACUCCUGACUGACCGAUAGUGAACCAGUACCGUGAGGGAAAGGCGAAAAGAACCCCGGCGAGGGGAGUGAAAAAGAACCUGAAACCGUGUACGUACAAGCAGUGGGAGCACGCUUAGGCGUGUGACUGCGUACCUUUUGUAUAAUGGGUCAGCGACUUAUAUUCUGUAGCAAGGUUAACCGAAUAGGGGAGCCGAAGGGAAACCGAGUCUUAACUGGGCGUUAAGUUGCAGGGUAUAGACCCGAAACCCGGUGAUCUAGCCAUGGGCAGGUUGAAGGUUGGGUAACACUAACUGGAGGACCGAACCGACUAAUGUUGAAAAAUUAGCGGAUGACUUGUGGCUGGGGGUGAAAGGCCAAUCAAACCGGGAGAUAGCUGGUUCUCCCCGAAAGCUAUUUAGGUAGCGCCUCGUGAAUUCAUCUCCGGGGGUAGAGCACUGUUUCGGCAAGGGGGUCAUCCCGACUUACCAACCCGAUGCAAACUGCGAAUACCGGAGAAUGUUAUCACGGGAGACACACGGCGGGUGCUAACGUCCGUCGUGAAGAGGGAAACAACCCAGACCGCCAGCUAAGGUCCCAAAGUCAUGGUUAAGUGGGAAACGAUGUGGGAAGGCCCAGACAGCCAGGAUGUUGGCUUAGAAGCAGCCAUCAUUUAAAGAAAGCGUAAUAGCUCACUGGUCGAGUCGGCCUGCGCGGAAGAUGUAACGGGGCUAAACCAUGCACCGAAGCUGCGGCAGCGACGCUUAUGCGUUGUUGGGUAGGGGAGCGUUCUGUAAGCCUGCGAAGGUGUGCUGUGAGGCAUGCUGGAGGUAUCAGAAGUGCGAAUGCUGACAUAAGUAACGAUAAAGCGGGUGAAAAGCCCGCUCGCCGGAAGACCAAGGGUUCCUGUCCAACGUUAAUCGGGGCAGGGUGAGUCGACCCCUAAGGCGAGGCCGAAAGGCGUAGUCGAUGGGAAACAGGUUAAUAUUCCUGUACUUGGUGUUACUGCGAAGGGGGGACGGAGAAGGCUAUGUUGGCCGGGCGACGGUUGUCCCGGUUUAAGCGUGUAGGCUGGUUUUCCAGGCAAAUCCGGAAAAUCAAGGCUGAGGCGUGAUGACGAGGCACUACGGUGCUGAAGCAACAAAUGCCCUGCUUCCAGGAAAAGCCUCUAAGCAUCAGGUAACAUCAAAUCGUACCCCAAACCGACACAGGUGGUCAGGUAGAGAAUACCAAGGCGCUUGAGAGAACUCGGGUGAAGGAACUAGGCAAAAUGGUGCCGUAACUUCGGGAGAAGGCACGCUGAUAUGUAGGUGAAGUCCCUUGCGGAUGGAGCUGAAAUCAGUCGAAGAUACCAGCUGGCUGCAACUGUUUAUUAAAAACACAGCACUGUGCAAACACGAAAGUGGACGUAUACGGUGUGACGCCUGCCCGGUGCCGGAAGGUUAAUUGAUGGGGUCAGCGCAAGCGAAGCUCUUGAUCGAAGCCCCGGUAAACGGCGGCCGUAACUAUAACGGUCCUAAGGUAGCGAAAUUCCUUGUCGGGUAAGUUCCGACCUGCACGAAUGGCGUAAUGAUGGCCAGGCUGUCUCCACCCGAGACUCAGUGAAAUUGAACUCGCUGUGAAGAUGCAGUGUACCCGCGGCAAGACGGAAAGACCCCGUGAACCUUUACUAUAGCUUGACACUGAACAUUGAGCCUUGAUGUGUAGGAUAGGUGGGAGGCUUUGAAGUGUGGACGCCAGUCUGCAUGGAGCCGGCCUUGAAAUACCACCCUUUAAUGUUUGAUGUUCUAACGUGGACCCGUGAUCCGGGUUGCGGACAGUGUCUGGUGGGUAGUUUGACUGGGGCGGUCUCCUCCUAAAGAGUAACGGAGGAGCACGAAGGUUGGCUAAUCCUGGUCGGACAUCAGGAGGUUAGUGCAAUGGCAUAAGCCAGCUUGACUGCGAGCGUGACGGCGCGAGCAGGUGCGAAAGCAGGUCAUAGUGAUCCGGUGGUUCUGAAUGGAAGGGCCAUCGCUCAACGGAUAAAAGGUACUCCGGGGAUAACAGGCUGAUACCGCCCAAGAGUUCAUAUCGACGGCGGUGUUUGGCACCUCGAUGUCGGCUCAUCACAUCCUGGGGCUGAAGUAGGUCCCAAGGGUAUGGCUGUUCGCCAUUUAAAGUGGUACGCGAGCUGGGUUUAGAACGUCGUGAGACAGUUCGGUCCCUAUCUGCCGUGGGCGCUGGAGAACUGAGGGGGGCUGCUCCUAGUACGAGAGGACCGGAGUGGACGCAUCACUGGUGUUCGGGUUGUCAUGCCAAUGGCACUGCCCGGUAGCUAAAUGCGGAAGAGAUAAGUGCUGAAAGCAUCUAAGCACGAAACUUGCCCCGAGAUGAGUUCUCCCUGACCCUUUAAGGGUCCUGAAGGAACGUUGAAGACGACGACGUUGAUAGGCCGGGUGUGUAAGCGCAGCGAUGCGUUGAGCUAACCGGUACUAAUGAACCGUGAGGCUUAACCUU